CUAUAUCUUCUCUAAAUUUCAUUGACUUCUUAUGCAUUUCAUGCAUCAAAGUAAGGUAUUUCCAUGCUCAUGCAUAAUGAUUAUUUUAGCAUUAGUCGAAACUUGGGUUAGUAGAUUUUCAUAUGAAUGUUUGGAUUGUGAAAGGAAGUUAGUCCUACCCAUUGCAUUCGGGUGUAAAAAUUUGACAGAAUCAAAAUAUGCUGUUGUUCUUGACAGUAGCAGGUUUAAUUAUGCACUUGAAGUGUUCGAUAAAAUGCCUAGAAGAUGCAAGAUCUAUCAUCUCUGCUCUGGCUUAUAAGACAGUUGGUAGCUAUUCAAGAAGAGCUACUUGAUUAAAUAUAAAGAAAUAUCUUCUAAGAGUGGGCCACAACUUUACUUGCAAUGUUAAGGCUGAUUAGUGUCUGAGUGUCUUAGCUAUGUCCGAGUCGAUUGAGACGGCUCUAUUAGAAUCAUACACUAGCAUAAGUGGUUUACUAGAUCUGUUUUUGUUGUUUGAUUUAGUUUCUCAGAAUACUAAAAACUUUUGGGAGUAUUUGGAUUCAAUUAAUUUUGUGUUUGAUUUUGGUUUAGUUUUAGCGUAUUUACAAAAUUCCUAGAACGGUAGAGAGAGAGUCAAUUUGGAACAAGAGGAAAAAUAAUCAUUAGACUGUUAAGUUAAUGCGCCAUGGAUUGAGAAAGGGGCACCACCACAAGUUCUGUCAUCACCGUAAGCCUCCAUCCACUAUCAGACUACCGGAAUCGCUUCCUGUAAAGUUUUG